CAGGGAGUGGGGCAAUUCACCCCACUACACACAGCAUGUCUACUACAACUCAGGGGCUUCAAAUCAGAUUAAGGCCCUGAUCGUGCUAUCAGACCCAUAGUUAAAUAUAAUCACUGCACAAGUACAAAGACACUUUCAUGAUAAACCUGAUUUAUUUCCAUUUCAGGUGAUGCAUUGCACAGAGACAACCCUGAAGUACCCAGCACCUAUGAAGUAUAUAGAGGUGGUGUCCCUGGCAAUACUCUGCAAAGGACACAGCUAGCUUCUGGGCCCAAUCCAUCUUCAGAGAGACAGCUGCAAUUCCCAAUGAAGACAGCAGACCAGAUCCUGCAGGCCCUCCAUACAGGGAACUCACCAUGGGAGCUGUGUGCAUUGAGGGCUUGCAGGAUCAGCCCCAGUAGGGAUUGUAUCCAUAUAUCAGAAGGGGAGAAUCCCUUGCUAGUUAAUGUAAGGAGGAGAAAUCAAUUAAUCAAUCUGGAACGAUGUAUGUACUUAAUCUUUAAAAAAAAAGAGGCAUCGAAAAGAGCUAUCCUAUGUGUACCACACACACACUUACUAGUAAAAACGUGUGUGCUUAAUGGUUGAAUAGCCCUGCUUGAUUUGGAGUACUUGUUUUUACAAUUCUCAGGCUUAGUCCACAUCAUAAGUGACAUGAGAAGUGAGGCUAGUGUCAUGGCUUCAAAGCAUAAUUUUUUCACAGAAGACUAGACAUCUGCUGUAUUUGUUUAACUGCAGAUGAUUUUAGAGAAAAAAAUUAAAUAGGAGAGAGUGACGUGUGGGGAGAAUUUUUUUUUUUGUUAAAUGUACAGGAAAGAGCUCUUUCCUAAUGUUACUUUAACAAUCAUCAUU